ensembl:snoRNA
UGGUCAUUACCAAGGCUGCUAGGAUAUUACUGUUUCUGGUGAGCUGUGGACAUGACCAUAAAGUAAGGCCAUCAGACUCUUGACUUGCCACAUUGUGUGGCACUAGGUCUGCUGGGAAUAAAG